UUUUCUGUGCCGGUUGGGAUAGGCGGCAAUGCUUUCAACUAAUGUGGUAUUGCACUUGUCCCGGCCUGUUCAGGACUA
rnacentral:pre_miRNA from 1 species